rnacentral:rRNA from 1 species
AAGGUUAAAACUCAAAGGAAUUGACGGGGACCCGCACAAGCGGUGGAUGAUGUGGAUUAAUUCGAUGCAACGCGAACAACCUUACCUACCCUUGACAUGUCUGGAAGCCUGCUGAAAGGCGGGUGUGCCUGAAAGGGAACCGGAACACAGGUGCUGCAUGGCUGUCGUCAGCUCGUGUCGUGAGAUGUUGGGUUAAGUCCCGCAACGAGCGCAACCCUUGUCCCUAGUUGCUACGCAAGGGCACUCUAGGGAGACUGCCGGUGACAAACCGGAGGAAGGUGGGGAUGACGUCAAGUCCUCAUGGCCCUUAUGGGUAGGGCUUCACACGUCAUACAAUGGUCGGUACAGAGGGUCGCCAACCCGCGAGGGGGAGCCAAUCCCACAAAGCCGAUCGUAGUCCGGAUCGCAGUCUGCAACUCGACUGCGUGAAGUCGGAAUCGCUAGUAAUCGUGGAUCAGCAUGUCACGGUGAAUACGUUCUCGGGCCUUGUACACACCGCCCGUCACACCAUGGGAAUUGGUUUCACCCGAAGCCGGUGAGCUAACCAGCAAUGGAGGCAGCCGACCACGGUGGGGUCAGUGACUGGGGUGAAGUCGUAACAAGGUAGCUGUAGGGGAACCUGCGGCUGGAUCACCUCCUU